GAUGAACGCUGACAGAAUGCUUAACACAUGCAAGUCGAUGGGGAAGUGGUGCUUGCCCCAUGGCAACCAUGGCGGACGGGUGAGUAACGCGUAAGGGACUUACCUGCAGGACUGGGAUAACAGGGGGAAACUCCUGACAAGACCGGAUAAUGUCAUGGAGCUGCAUGGCUUUAUGAUGAAAGGAGACGCCUGCGGAGAGCCUUGCGUCCCAUUAGCUAGUUGGUGAGGUAAUGGCUCACCAAGGCGAAGAUAGGUAGCCGGCCUGAGAGGGUGGACGGCCACAAGGGGACUGAGAUACGGCCCUUACUCCUACGGGAGGCAGCAGUGGGGAAUAUUGGACAAUGGGGGCAACCCUGAUCCAGCAAUUCUGUGUGCACGAAGAAGGUUUUCGGAUUGUAAAGUGCUUUCAGCAGGGAAGAAGUAAGUGACGGUACCUGCAGAAGAAGCGACGGCUAAAUACGUG
rnacentral:rRNA from 1 species